rnacentral:rRNA from 1 species
UACGUAGGGUGCAAGCGUUGUCCGGAAUUAUUGGGCGUAAAGAGCUCGUAGGCGGUUCGUCGCGUCGGCUGUGAAAUCCCGAGGCUCAACCUCGGGUCUGCAGUCGAUACGGGCGGACUGGAGUACUGCAGGGGAGACUGGAAUUCCUGGUGUAGCGGUGAAAUGCGCAGAUAUCAGGAGGAACACCGGUGGCGAAGGCGGGUCUCUGGGCAGUUACUGACGCUGAGGAGCGAAAGCGUGGGGAGCGAACAGGA